rnacentral:rRNA from 1 species
AGGGUUUGAUUAUGGCUCAGGAUGAACGCUAGCGACAGGCUUAACACAUGCAAGUCGAGGGGCAUCGGGGUGUAGCAAUACACUGCCGGCGACCGGCGCACGGGUGAGUAACGCGUAUGUAACCUUCCCGACACAGGGGUAUAGCCCAUGGAAACGUGGAUUAAUCCCCCAUAUCAUUAUGAUGAGGCAUCUCAUGAUAAUAAAAUUUACGGAGGUAUCGGAUGGGCAUGCGUCCUAUUAGCUAGUUGGCGGGGUAACGGCCCACCAAGGCGAUGAUAGGUAGGGGUUCUGAGAGGAAGGUCCCCCACAUUGGAACUGAGACACGGUCCAA